GGAGGUGGUGCGGAGCGAGUCGACUUUGGACUACUCUCUUAGCGUGGCGUCGCGCGAGGCUGCGGCGGAGCCUCUGUCAGGAAGGCGGGAGCUUGACAGCUUCAGUAAAGACCAGCAGCGGUGACAGCAACCCGGAGUCAUGAGCGACAGCGGCGAGCAGAACUACGGCGAGCGGGUUAAUGUUGAAGAAGGAAAAUGCGGAAGUCGUCAUUUGACAAGUUUUAUAAAUGAGUAUUUGAAGCUCAGGAAUAAGUGAAGCUGAAAUUUGAAAAAAUAAAAGAAAGAAUGCAUGCUAAUUAUCAGACCAGAAGUCCCACUUGUAGAAUAUUGAGCAAUUUGUGUGAAGUGGGGAAGAUGAAAGAAGUCAGAAUUUGAAACGGAAGAAUGAAGAAAAGAAAUAAAAAUGAAGUUAAGAUAAGAAGUAAUCUGGAAUCAGAAAGCACUACGCUAAGAAUCCCGUUCUGCUUCCCGAAGUGGAAGUGCUCAUGGAUCGGGGAAAUCUGCACGGCACACACCUGCAAGGUCUCGCUCCAAGGAAGAUUCAAGACGUUCUAGAUCAAAGUCAAGAUCCAGAUCUGAAUCUAGGUCUAGAUCCAGAAGAAGUUCUAGAAGGCAUUAUACAAGGUCACGAUCACGAUCUCGCUCUCAUAGACGAUCCCGGAGCAGGUCUUACAGCCGAGACUAUCGCAGACGCCACAGCCACAGCCAUUCUCCCAUGUCUACUCGAAGGCGUCAUG
rnacentral:lncRNA from 1 species